UAAGGCCAAAGACCCCCUAAGCCGUCAUACGCUCUACGAAGGCACGAAGCCCAAACACGAAAGUAGCCUUAAUAAAUUUCCUGACCCCACGAAAGUUAGGAAACAAACUGGGAUUAGAUACCCCACUAUGCCCAACCCUAAACCUAGAUGAAAAAACACAAAAUCAUCCGCCAGGGGACUACAAGCACAGCUUAAAACCCAAAGGACUUGGCGGUGCCUCAGACCCACCUAGAGGAGCCUGUUCUAGAACCGAUAAUCCCCGUUAAACCUCACCACCCCUUGCUUUCCCCGCCUAUAUACCGCCGUCGUCAGCUUACCCUAUGAAGGCCAAACAGUAAGCAAAAUGAGUUCAACCCAAAACGUCAGGUCGAGGUGUAGCGCACGAGGUGGAAAGAAAUGGGCUACAUUUUCUAUCACAGAAUAUCACGAAUAGUGCCCUGAAAACAGCACCUGAAGGAGGAUUUAGUAGUAAAAAGCAACCAGAAAGUCCUUUUGAAUUAGGCUCUGAGGCGCGCACACACCGCCCGUCACUC
rnacentral:rRNA from 2 species